rnacentral:rRNA from 1 species
AGCAGUAGCCACGGGAAUACAGAGGGUGCGAGCGUUAAUCGGAUUUACUGGGCGUAAAGCGUGCGUAGGCGGCUUUUUAAGUCGGAUGUGAAAUCCCUGAGCUUAACUUAGGAAUUGCAUUCGAUACUGGGAAGCUAGAGUAUGGGAGAGGAUGGUAGAAUUCCAGGUGUAGCGGUGAAAUGCGUAGAGAUCUGGAGGAAUACCGAUGGCGAAGGCAGCCAUCUGGCCUAAUACUGACGCUGAGGUACGAAAGCAUGGGGAGCAAACAGGAUUAGAUACCCGGGUAGUCCCUGUCUCUUAUAC